GGCAGCUGCACAGAGCGAGGGGGAGCGGCGCGGCCGCCAGCAGUGCGGCCUCCGGGUGCCGCCGCCCUCCCCGGGGAGCCUCGGGGGAUCUCGCCCUGGGAAAACCAUCCCGGGUGACCCCGACCUCCCAGCACGCGGGACGGGCCCGCGCCCGGACUCACCCAGAGGCCGCAGAUUCCCCAGAGUAACAGCUUGUCCCACCUCAAGGCUCUUUGCUUAGGAAGAAAGCAAAGAAUAGAACCUGCAAGAUGGCCUGUUCACUUUCCAAUUCUGGUGGCCUGAGUUUGAUCCCCAAGACCCACAUGGGAGAGGGAUAAAACUGACUUCGGCAUGUUGGCCUCUGACGUCCAUACAUAUCCCUUAGCAUGCGCGUAUCUCUCCUCUCUCGAAAAAUAAGAAAAUGCAAUGAGAGAGA
rnacentral:lncRNA from 1 species